GGUUCGAUCCUGGCUCAGAUUGAACGCUGGCGGGAUGCUUUACACAUGCAAGUCGAACGGCGGCACGGACUUCGGUCUGGUGGCGAGUGGCGAACGGGUGAGUAAUGUAUCAGAAGACGUGCCUAGUAGCGGGGGAUAACUACGCGAAAGCGCAGCUAAUACCGCAUACGCGCCCUUCGGGGGAAAGCGGGGGACCUUCGGGCCUCGCGCAAUGAAGCGGCCGAUAUCGGAUUAGCUAGUUGGUGGGGUAACGGCUCACCAAGGCGACGAUCCGUAGCUGGUUUGAGAGGACCAGCCACACAGGACAGAGACACGGCCCAGACUCCUGCAGGAGGCAGCAGUGGGGAAUUUUGGACAAUGGGGGAAAGCCCCUGAUCCCAGCCAUCCCGCGUGUGCGAUGAAGGCCUUCAGGUUGUAAAGCACUUUUGGCAGGAAAGAAACGGCACGGGAUAAUACCCCGUGCAACUGACGGCUACCUGCAGAAUAAGCACCGGCUAACUACGUGCCAGCAGCCGCGGUAAUACGUAGAAGUGCAAGCGUUAAUCGGAAUUACUGGGCGUAAGGCGUGCGCGAGCGGUUCGGAAGAUGUGAUCCCAGAGCUUAACUUUGGAACUGCAUUUUUAACUACCGAGCUAGAGUGUGUCAGAGGAGGUGGAAUUCCACGCGUGUAGCAGUGAAAUGCGUAGAAUAUGCGGAGGAACACCGAUGGCGAGGCAACCUCCUGGGAUAACGCGACGCUCAUGCACGAAAAGCGUGGGGAGCAAACAGGAUUAGAUACCCUGGUAGUCACGCCCUAAACGAUGUCAACUAGCUGUUGGGGCCUUCGGGCCUUGGUAGCGCAGCUAACGCGUGAAGUUGACCGCCUGGGGAGUACCGGUCGCAAGAUUAAAAACUCGAAUUGGCGGGGACCCACAAGCAGUGGAUGAUGUGGAUUAAUUCGAUGCAACGCGAAAAACCUUACCUACCCUUGACAUGUCUGGAAUCCCGAAAGAGAUUUGAGGUGCUCGCAAGAGAACCGGAACACGGAGCACUGCGGCUGUCGUCAGCGCGCUCGUGUCGUGAAGAUGUUGGGUUAAGUCCCGCAACGAGCGCAACCCUUGUCAUUAGUUGCUACGAAAAGGAACGCUCUAAUGAGACUGCCGGUGACAAAGCGGAGGAAGGUGGGGAUGACGUCAAGUCCUCAUGGCCCUUAUGGGUAGGGCUUCACGUCAUACAAUGGUCGGGACAGAGGGUCGCCAACCCGCGAGAGGCCAAUCCCAGAAACCCGAUCGUAGUCCGGAUCGCAGUCUGCAACUCGACUGCGUGAGAAGUCGGAAUCGCUAGUAAUCGCGGAUCAAUGUCGCGGUGAAUACGUUCCCGGGUCUUGUACACACACCGCCCGUCACACCAUGGGAGUGGGUUUUACCAGAAGUAGUUAGCCUAACCGUAAGGGAGGGCGAUUACCACAGUAGGAUUCAUGACUGGGGUGAAGUCGUAACAAAGGUAG
rnacentral:rRNA from 1 species